rnacentral:rRNA from 1 species
CCUACGGGUGGCAGCAGUGAGGAAUAUUGGUCAAUGGCCGGAAGGCUGAACCAGCCAAGCCGCGUGAGGGAGGAAGGCGCAGAGCGUCGCAGACCUCUUUUGCCGGGGGACAAAAGGCCGGACUCGUCCGGUCCUGAGGGUACCCGGAGAAAAAGCAUCGGCUAACUCCGUGCCAGCAGCCGCGGUAAUACGGAGGAUGCGAGCGUUAUCCGGAUUCAUUGGGUUUAAGGGGUGCGCAGGCGGGCCUUUAAGCCGGCGGUGAAAUCGCGGGGCUCAACCUGGAGACUGCACUUGAAACUGGGUGUCUUGAGGGCAGGAGAGGAAAGUGGAAUUCCUAGUGUAGCGGUGAAAUGCGUAGAUAUUAGGAGGAACACCAGUGGCGAAGGCGACUUUCUGGACUGUACCUGACGCUGAGGCGCGAAAGCGUGGGUAGCGAACGGGAUUAGAUACCCUUGUAGUC